rnacentral:rRNA from 1 species
UACGUAGGUGGCAAGCGUUAUCCGGAAUUACUGGGCGUAAAGAGCGCGCAGGUGGUUGAUUAAGUCUGAUGUGAAAGCCCACGGCUUAACCGUGGAGGGUCAUUGGAAACUGGUCGACUUGAGUGCAGAAGAGGGUAGUGGAAUUCCAUGUGUAGCGGUGAAAUGCGUAGAGAUAUGGAGGAACACCAGUGGCGAAGGCGGCUUCCUGGUCUGUAACUGACACUGAGGCGCGAAAGCGUGGGGAGCAAACAGGAUUAGAUACCCG